rnacentral:lncRNA from 1 species
GAUUUAGGAAACUGAUGGAAGAUGAAGUAGUCAUUUAAGUAGGGUGUUUUCAUUUCACAGUUGAGAAAACCGAAGCCCAGAGAGGUUAAAACUGUAACUACUUUAAAAUUUUAUAUAGUAAUUUUAAUGUGGGCUUCAUUUUUCUUUCUGUCUCAUCCCCUAGAUAUUGUUGUCUCAAUGUUAGGAAUAAUAUUUAUAGCAUGUAUUAUCAUAAUCAUACUUAGGAAUACAUCCUAAUUAUGUCAAGAACUACAAACAGAAUUUACAUUUAUCUGGUAUUUAUUGUUGCUGUUUGACUUAGGAAUUACUGGAAAAUAAAGUGAAAAAAUUCAGAUUCUGAUUUCUGCGUGGAUCUUCUGGCUAGACAGGUUGAAAGAAAGAAGUAUGCCAACAAUAUCUUUCAUUCCAUAUGCUCUUCCAGACCCUUACGAUUCCUCCAUCAAGAUGUAGACUCUAAUUCCUCCUCCUUUGAACCUGGGUACACUUUUAUGACGGUUUGAAAGAAUGCAACAUCCUGGAAGUGAUGCCAUAUGACUUCUGAGGCUAGUUUGUAAAAGGUCAUGCAAUUUCUGCUGUCGUCACUGAAUACUUGCCCUUGAAGCCUGCAGCCAUGUUAGCAGCCCAGUUGCCCUGGAGAAACCAAAACUAGCUUACAUGGAAAGACCACACAGAGAGGUCCUGCAACUGCAGUCCCCAACGGCUCCACCUUCCUGCUCUUCCAAAGCCAGACCCUGUUUUACACAAUAUCCGGAGAGAGAGCGAGAGAUUCCUAUAGAAUACAAGACAAGACUAUCACAAUGGUGAGUAAUAACAAGAUAAAAUCAAACAUAUCUUCCUCUGUUGAGUGUGGGGAAACAUUGGCGAGGUUGAUACAAGCUUAACUAUAGAUGCUUUGAAAGGAUCCGCCGAUGUUUAACACGUGGAGGGAAAAUAUUGCUGCAAGCUCCAAUUCUAAGCGGCUGUGGAUGAAUGAGGUAAGAGAGGUGGAGAAUGGAGAAAGGAGAAUGUGUUCUCCUCUCCAUAAUUAAAAGUGAAAGGAGCUUGUG